GAUGAACGCUGGCGGCGUGCCUAAUACAUGCAAGUCGAGCGAACGGACGAGAAGCUUGCUUCUCUGAUGUUAGCGGCGGACGGGUGAGUAACACGUGGAUAACCUACCUAUAAGACUGGGAUAACUUCGGGAAACCGGAGCUAAUACCGGAUAAUAUUUUGAACCGCAUGGUUCAAAAGUGAAAGACGGUCUUGCUGUCACUUAUAGAUGGAUCCGCGCUGCAUUAGCUAGUUGGUAAGGUAACGGCUUACCAAGGCAACGAUGCAUAGCCGACCUGAGAGGGUGAUCGGCCACACUGGAACUGAGACACGGUCCAGACUCCUACGGGAGGCAGCGGUAGGGAAUCUUCCGCAAUGGGCGAAAGCCUGACGGAGCAACGCCGCGUGAGUGAUGAAGGUCUUCGGAUCGUAAAACUCUGUUAUUAGGGAAGAACAUAUGUGUAAGUAACUGUGCACAUCUUGACGGUACCUAAUCAGAAAGCCACGGCUAACUACGUGCCAGCAGCCGCGGUAAUACGUAGGUGGCAAGCGUUAUCCGGAAUUAUUGGGCGUAAAGCGCGCGUAGGCGGUUUUUUAAGUCUGAUGUGAAAGCCCACGGCUCAACUGUGGAGGGUCAUUGGAAACUGGAAAACUUGAGUGCAGAAGAGGAAAGUGGAAUUCCAUGUGUAGCGGUGAAAUGCGCAGAGAUAUGGAGGAACACCAGUGGCGAAGGCGACUUUCUGGUCUGUAACUGACGCUGAUGUGCGAAAGCGUGGGGAUCAAACAGGAUUAGAUACCCUGGUAGUCCACGCCGUAAACGAUGAGUGCUAAGUGUUAGGGGGUUUCCGCCCCUUAGUGCUGCAGCUAACGCAUUAAGCACUCCGCCUGGGGAGUACGACCGCAAGGUUGAAACUCAAAGGAAUUGACGGGGACCCGCACAAGCGGUGGAGCAUGUGGUUUAAUUCGAAGCAACGCGAAGAACCUUACCAAAUCUUGACAUCCUUUGACAACUCUAGAGACAGAGCCUUCCCCUUCGGGGGACAAAGUGACAGGUGGUGCAUGGUUGUCGUCAGCUCGUGUCGUGAGAUGUUGGGUUAAGUCCCGCAACGAGCGCAACCCUUAAGCUUAGUUGCCAUCAUUAAGUUGGGCACUCUAAGUUGACUGCCGGUGACAAACCGGAGGAAGGUGGGGAUGACGUCAAAUCAUCAUGCCCCUUAUGAUUUGGGCUACACACGUGCUACAAUGGACAAUACAAAGGGCAGCGAAACCGCGAGGUCAAGCAAAUCCCAUAAAGUUGUUCUCAGUUCGGAUUGUAGUCUGCAACUCGACUACCAUGAAGCUGGAAUCGCUAGUAAUCGUAGAUCAGCAUGCUACGGUGAAUACGUUCCCGGGUCU
rnacentral:rRNA from 1 species